rnacentral:lncRNA from 1 species
UCGUUCUCGAAGUCGUCGCCGAAGUUCCUCGUGGGUCAGAGCAAGGCAAGUGACACCAUUCCUUGAACAUAUUGAACCUAUGAUUAUAAGAUUCUCCCGCUUUACAUUCAAACAUGCAUUACUUAUUGCAAAUUUACUUUACUUUAUUUAUCUAUUGGGGAUUUACCUUUAUUUAUACCCGUUGAUUCCCAUUGUUUAUUUUUGUCAUCCCAGGGAUAAUUUGACUAGAAUUAGGGUUAGGCAAUGCUUAGCCAUGCUUAGUUCAACUAGCUCAUGGGUUUAAUGUUUCAUUAAUGCUAGACUGUAAUAGUUCUUGAUAAUGAUUAAUUUCCUGAUGUGGAUUAAAUAAAACUAAAAUAUUGCUUACGGUGGGCGGUGGGUGCAUGGUUUUGAGAGUCGCACUCAUGGCAAUUAAGGACCGGUUCUCGGGAAACCCUGGAAGUCUUACACGUACUAACCACAUGCCGAAAUGGAUAUGUUGGGAUUUGAAGCAUGGCUUCAAACUAUUUUACGUACCAAGGCAAGGGUGGGCGUGAUGGAGUAUGGAUGGGAGUCAUGGUGUAACAAUGGCCUAUGCUACUUCCGGAUUCACCAAGGCACAAGAGGAGACUGCCCUACUUGGUGUAAAGGAGGGGGUGAAACCUGAAGUGCGGUGCGAUUGAAUAGGGAGGGUUAUGUGACAGGUCCUAUCACAGUUUCCUUUCCGUGGUAUCAUGGUGAUACACCGGCGUACGUUCAAGUGUAGUGGGGCUGUGUCUUGUGGGUAAAGUUGUACACCUCUAAUCAGAGUAUAAUCUAUUCGAAUAGACGUUGUCCACGGUUAUGGGCGAACUCCCAGAUUCACUGGGAUUAGUCAAACCUUUAAUAACUUGAUGAACUUGGAACUAGUUUGACCCUGCGCAAUGUGGUGUAACAUUGGGUAGUGGUUUGGGUCUACCGCAACGUGGUGUAACGUUGGGCAGAGGGUUGACCUUGUCGCAACGUGGUGUAGCAUUCGACAGCGGUUUGGGCCUGUUGCAACGUGGUGUAACGUUGAACAGUGAAUGGUUAUUUUCAUGUACUUUACUUUACUUUUUAUUCACUUCUUAUUCAGUCUAUUUACUUCCUUGCUAAAUAAAUGAUGCUUUGUGCAAUUUAACCUCAGCCUAUCCUUGAUACCCUAUUGGAUUCAUUAUUCUUCCUCUCUUGGGUGUUACUUGUUGAGUACCAGGAUUUGUACUCAGCCUUGCUUAAUUUUUCCUCACCAGAGCAAGAGCAGAGCCUUUGUCAGAAGGAGGUAGUUCCGAAGGUUGAAGUGAGGUUCAGUCCGCCGUCAAGAAUGCCUAUGAAGUGGAACCAUCAUCGCCAAGCUGAUGAUUAGAUGUUUCUAGUCUUGUUUCCCUUUUCCGCUGCAAUUCGAUAGAUAAUUGUUUUUAUUUGUUUUCAAGUCGUGGAACUGUGUAUUAAUUUAUCAUAGUGUGUACUCGGGCUGAUUCCUGGACCAAGAUUUAAUACAUGCUAUUGUUCAGAAAUUGGUGUAAAUUUCUGGGCGUGACAAUAGCCCUAAUGUGCCCAUAGAAAUCCAAGGGAGA